rnacentral:rRNA from 1 species
AUUGAACUCUAGCGGGAUGCUUUACACAUGCAAGUCGAACGAGUGGCGGACGGGUGCGUACUAUAUCGGAACGUGCCCAGUAGCGGGGGAUAACUACUCGAAAGAGUGGCUAAUACCGCCUACUAUUGGAGCGGCCGAUAUCGGAUUAUCUAGUUGGUGGGGUAAAGGCUCACCAAGGCACCGAUCCGUAGCUGGUUUGAGAGGACGACCAGCCACAGUGGGACUGAGACAGGGCACAGACUCCUACGGGAGGCAGCAGUGGGGAAUUUUGGACAAUGGGGGAAACCCGGAUGCAGCCAUGCCGCGUGUAUGAGAAGGCCUGCGGGUUGUAGAGUACUUUUGGCAGAGAAGCGGUAUCUGCAGAAUAAGCACCGGCUAACUACGUGCAAGCAGCCGCGGUAAUAC